GUGCGUCUCUUGAAAGUCAAAACGACUCUCGGCAACGGAUAUCUCGGCUCUCGCAUCGAUGAAGAACGUAGCGAAAUGCGAUACUUGGUGUGAAUUGCAGAAUCCCGUGAACCAUCGAGUCUUUGAACGCAAGUUGCGCCCGAAGCCUUCGGGCCGAGGGCACGCCUGCCUGGGCGUCA
rnacentral:rRNA from 1 species